AUAUAAUUAAAAAAUAAUUUUUUUUUUUUUUAAUUUUAUAACAUAUAAAAAAUGAAAACAGACAUAAAAGUUAUAGAAUAUAAAAAAAUAUGUUAUUAUUUGAGUUAACGUUUUCAUAAAGCUUUUUUAUUACGUCACAAGAGUUUUAAAGUAUUGUUUUUUUAUGACAUAACAUACUAUAUAUAUAUAUAUAUAUAUAUAUAUGUAUUUAUGUCCUUAAGAACAUACAUAAACAUAUUGGCCUUGCACAUAUUUUAAAGUGAUUAUAUACAUAUAGUAAAGUGUAUAAGUAAAAAUAUUUAAUAAAAUAAUGUACUAGUUUAUUUUUUUUAAAAGCAUUUAUAUAUAUUUAUAUUUUUUCAUUUAUUUGAUUAACAUAUAGAAAAGUGUAAAUUAUAAGUUCCUAUUUAAUGCGUCUUUUUUGUUUUUACCAACAGAAUAAAAAUAAUGUGUUUAUUUAUCUCAUUUUAGCAAUAGAAGACAGAUACACAUACAUAAAUAUAUGUAUGUAUGCAUCAUGUUAUAUUUAUUUUUUUUUUAUUGAAACAUAUUAAGACAUUGUUUAAUAUUACAUUUUUUAUCAUUAUGAAAAUGUUAUUUACUUCUUUAAGUUUUAUAUUUUUAUCUAUUAUCACACUUAGUUCCCUAACCUUGCAGUAAACAUUUUUAUGACUUCAAAAUUUGAUUAUUUUUUCAUUUUAUUUCUUUUUUUGCUUUUUUGAUUGUUAACAUUUAAUUGAUGUAGUAUAAUCACAAAAAAAUAAAAUAAAAUAAAAUUAUAACAGACAUUUCGUAUAUUUUAAAACAGCUAUACAUAUAUUAUCGAAAAAUUAGUUAAUAGAAUACUAUCAAGGUUAGUUCAUUAUGUAAACAUAUACUUUGUUGUGUUUAUUUGUAGAAAGGUAAUACCAACUAUUCGUUGGGGGCAAAAUUCAUAUAAGAUUACAUUAGUUGUUAUAAUUCCAUCAUUAAAAAAGAACGAUGUAAAAUUUACAGAAAAUAAUUUGCAUUUAUCUGCUGUUGAUGAAAAGGGGGAAGAAGUCGAUCUAAAUAUAGAUUUCCUAAGACCAAUAAAGCCAGAGGAUAGCACUUAUAAUGUUACAGAGCGAGGUUUGCAACUAAAAAUUAUGAAGCAAAAUAAGGAACCAUGUUGGAAACGUUUAACAAAAGAAGAUAAAAAAAUUAAUUAUCUUUUGAAAGACAAAAAGAUGGGUGAUCCAAAUGAUUGUGAAGAUGCUAAGCAUCAAUGGUUGCAGGAUUAUAAGUUUUACAUACGUAAAAAGAAUCCCAAAAAAGAGGAAAAGAAAACAUCUGAUGGGCCAAUGGAUGAUAUAAUUAAAUCAUUGAGCGACAUUCACGGUAGCUUUUCUGUACAUGAAUAUUAAAUAUAAAAGGUAAAAUAAAAAAAAAAAUGUACAUAUACA
rnacentral:lncRNA from 1 species